rnacentral:rRNA from 1 species
UGGGGAAUAUUGGACAAUGGGCGAAAGCCUGAUCCAGCAAUGCCGCGUGAGUGAUGAAGGCCUUAGGGUUGUAAAGCUCUUUUACCCGGGAUGAUAAUGACAGUACCGGGAGAAUAAGCCCCGGCUAACUCCGUGCCAGCAGCCGCGGUAAUACGGAGGGGGCUAGCGUUGUUCGGAAUUACUGGGCGUAAAGCGCACGUAGGCGGCUAUUCAAGUCAGAGGUGAAAGCCUGGAGCUCAACUCCAGAACUGCCUUUGAAACUAGAUAGCUAGAAUCAUGGAGAGGUGAGUGGAAUUCCGAGUGUAGAGGUGAAAUUCGUAGAUAUUCGGAAGAACACCAGUGGCGAAGGCGGCUCACUGGACAUGUAUUGACGCUGAGGUGCGAAAGCGUGGGGAGCAAACA